rnacentral:lncRNA from 1 species
AAAUAGAUAGUGGUGUUACCUAAAUUGAUGAAUUGUUUUUUCAGGUCCUGAUUUUUGAAUUUGUUGUUGAAGUUCGAGGCCAGAUGACGUAUGCAAUAAAUAGAGUUCAUACCAUCUUCUUCCCAACCAACCUCUUCUGAUCUUAAAGCGGAUAAGAUACCCUUUCCUCUGUCAGUGAUGAUGCAAAUAUUUUGUCCAGGGCAAACAUGUUCUCGAAGUAGUUGAAAGAACCAUAUCAUGGNCUCCUUUGUCUCACCUUCUACAAUCGC